rnacentral:misc_RNA from 1 species
AAGUCGUAACAAGGUUUCCGUAGGUGAACCUGCGGAAGGAUCAUUAACACGUAUCCAACGUUAAACAACCCUGUGAACUUUCAGCCUGGUAAAUCAUUGCAAACAGUUUUGAUUCGGGACCUCUGUCCAAAAGGUGUUACAAUUGAGCGGUAGAGGCAGUGGCAUGGCUUCCCCAAGCAGUUAGUGAAUGACAGUGUCACUGAUUGUGUAAGGAUAACGCCUCACGGUUGCCAGAGGUCGAUCACCGACCGGCAGACAUGUCACAGGGUCACCACGCCCCUUAAUCACCCCAAUUUGAAAUUGCUCCUACCUGGUGGUAACGCACUGGGUCAAAAAAACCGAACAACUGUUAACAAUGGAUAUCUUGGUUCUC